rnacentral:rRNA from 1 species
CCUACGGGUGGCAGCAGUGGGGAAUAUUGGACAAUGGGGGGAACCCUGAUCCAGCCAUGCCGCGUGUGUGAAGAAGGCCCUCGGGUUGUAAAGCACUUUCAGUGAGGAAGAACGCCUGGUGGUUAAUACCCAUCAGGAAAGACAUCACUCACAGAAGAAGCACCGGCUAACUCCGUGCCAGCAGCCGCGGUAAUACGGAGGGUGCGAGCGUUAAUCGGAAUUACUGGGCGUAAAGCGCGCGUAGGUGGCUUGAUAAGCUGGUUGUGAAAGCCCCGGGCUCAACCUGGGAACGGCAUCCGGAACUGUCAAGCUAGAGUGCAGGAGAGGAAGGUAGAAUUCCCGGUGUAGCGGUGAAAUGCGUAGAGAUCGGGAGGAAUACCAGUGGCGAAGGCGGCCUUCUGGACUGACACUGACACUGAGGUGCGAAAGCGUGGGUAGCAAACAGGAUUAGAUACCCGUGUAGUC